UUGGAAAGAAAAGCUCCCAGCUCUUUCCAGCACAGAGCAUCUUGGGGUCAACAGCUGAAAAAAUGAACUAGUAAACUCACUGCUAUCACCUGAAAUUCAUUACUUUUCCUUAAUAAGGUAAAAUAUGUACCUGAAGGACUUCAUCCUGUGGCAGAGUGAAUUCCAUUCACAUUCCAGCAGUUUGCAGAGACCUGCUGCCUGUAGGGUGGAGUGACACUGGAGAAGUUCAUGGAGAACUGACUACUUUGGGAGGAACCCCACAGUGCAGCAGGGGAAGGAUUCCUUUUUCUGAGCAGCGGCAGAAACAAUGCGUGAUGAACUGACUGCAACCCCCCAUACCCUGCUUCCCUGCAAUAUCUGGGGGGAAAGAGGUAGAGGAGGGAAGGAGAAAGAGCUGAGAAGUGGAGUAAUAAAGCAGCUUUGGUGAGUGUCUGGAGUCCAGCCAGGGACAACUCACUCAAAUGUCAAUGACAUUUUGGAAACUCAAAGUCACAGGCACCCUGUAUUACCAAACCUCUGUGUGUGACUUAUGGAAAUGGAUUUGAUUGGUGUGCAAGCUAAUAAAAUAAGUCACUAGAUUACUGAUGAUCAUGAGUGAAGAUAUAGAAGAAUGAAGAUACAGAAGAGUGAAGAUGUCAAGUAAUGCAUAAUUAAAAUGACUGAUUCAUGAUCAAGGCACUAUUUUCACUUCCUGCACUGAGGAAUCCUUCCCCAGGUAUUAUUGAUUCUUGGCUCAGGCUUUGAUUUCUUUGUACAGCUCUGUUCCUCUAAUGUUUAGAAAGGCAAGUGCUGCCAUACCAAGACAAAACAUUUUGCAUCGGGUCAAAGGAUGUCACAUCAACAGGAAAACCUUUGUUGCUAUUGCAGUGCCCACAGACAAUUUUACUGUCUCUAAUAACUCUAUGGAAAAAGCCUGGGUCUGCAGUAGGUCAGCCUACACAUUGUGGUGAUAUAAAACCAAUUAAUUAUCCUGCAAAGAUGAAAACAAAUGAGGAAGAAGAGUGAAAGCAUACACAAACACAAGCAUAAAUCAAACUUUGUCUUUUUGCACAUUGAUGCAUAUAUUUUUGUGAGGGCUGAAGUCACAAAUACUCUGUUGUAAUUAAUAUUGUGCUCCAGUGAAUUAGGAAUAAUUUCUGCAGUAAGACCAGGGGGCCUGUGGAUGACCCUUCUGCAAAGAAAUUGAUAUUCCAGAGGAAAUUGGCUACCAGCAGCAUGAAGCUAUCUAAAGAAAAAGCUACAUCCGCUGAGGUGAAGUUUAAGACGGUGUUCCACAUGGUUUGUUUUAAAACGUAUUUUAUGUGUGAGGCUUAGUUGCAUUUUUCAUUCCUAUAAACUGUGCUCUAAAACUAUAAAACAUACUGCUGCUUGAAAAAAACCUGUUAUUUUUCUGUGUAGGCAUUUUUUGAAGCUAUUGUCUUUGUGUAAUGAUGCAAAUUUAUGAAUUAUACUAACUUGUUUAAAAAGAUAUCAAUCUGCUUAUGUGGCUGUAAUCAUUAUUGAUAUUUUUCUCUUUUUUGGAGUGUGAUGCAAGACCAAAACUAUCGAUUUCACUGUUGUAUGGCAAGGUACAGGGAUGCUCCAUUGAAGCAUUUGCUUUUCUAUAUAGAUUCUAUGAAAUGAAAAAU